GAUGAACGCUGACAGAAUGCUUAACACAUGCAAGUCUUUGGCGAAGCUGUGCUUGCACAGCCUAGCCAAGGCGGACGGGUGAGUAACGCGUAAGGAACUUGCCCUGCAGUCAGGGAUAACAGACGGAAACGACUGAUAAGACCUGGUAAAGUCAGGCGGACUCAUGUCCAGCCUGAUGAAAAGAGAUGCUGCAGGAGAGCCUUGCGUCCUAUUAGCUUGUUGGUGGGGUAACGGCCCACCAAGGCGAUGAUAGGUAGCCGGCCUGAGAGGGUGGACGGCCACAAGGGGACUGAGAUACGGCCCUUACUCCUACGGGAGGCAGCAGUGGGGAAUAUUGGACAAUGGGGGCAACCCUGAUCCAGCAAUUCUGUGUGCACGAUGAAGGCUUUCGGAUUGUAAAGUGCUUUCAGCAGGGAAGAAAAAAUGACGGUACCUGCAGAAGAAGCGACGGCUAAAUACGUG
rnacentral:rRNA from 1 species